GGGCGGUUAGCUCAGAUGGUUAGAGCACCAGCUCGACACGCUGGGGGUCGGCGGUUCGAGUCCGCCACCGCCCA
rnacentral:tRNA from 1 species